GCUCGAAUGGCUCGUGGUAAAGCGUCUCACUAGUACUGGCUGCCCCAGUUCGAGGACCGGGAGAGUGAACAUGACAUGAGAAGAUCGCCAGUUCGAUUCUGGCUUUGGGCA